GGGCGUCUCUUACUCAUCACGAGUGGAGGCGCACCUAUAGCGCACACGCUGAUACCCGAAAGAUGGUGAACUAUGCCUGGCCAGGACGAAGCCAGGGGAAACCCUGGUGGAGGUCCGCAGCGAUUCUGACGUGCAAAUCGAUCGUCGGAGCUGGGUAUAGGGGCGAAAGACCAAUCGAACCAUCUAGUAGCUGGUUCCCUCUGAAGUUUCCCUCAGGAUAGCUUGCGCUCGGUUGAGACGAGUCUCAUCCGGUAGAGCGAAUGAUUAGAGGCCUUGGGGUCGAAACGACCUCAACCUAUUCUCAAACUCCAAAUAGAUGAGAUCCCCGGCUUGCUUGAAAGUGAAGCCGCGGGAAUCGGAUCAGAGUGCAAAGUGGGCCAAUUUU
rnacentral:rRNA from 1 species